CAGUCUCUUUCCCUGCCCAAAAAGAGAUAAGAUUUCAACUAAGGGGUGAGGUGGGGGUAGAGGAGGGAGAAUUGAGCUUGGUUCAAGUUUAAAUUGCUGGGUCCCUGGGAAGAGGCUUAGGGCUCCAUCCCAUUGGGCCGUGGCCUGGAGCGUAGACAACAGCCCAGACAGGCUGGAGGGGAAGGGGGUUCUCAAGGAGAAGAGCUAUUGUCUAACCACCCAGAGCACAGCCUUGUGUAUAUAAGGACCACACUUAAGCAGUGUGGAAACAGAGGUUGGAGGCAUCUAGGCCUGAUGAGUCCUUGGCAGCCUCUUAGAAUCCUUAUACCCUAGUAUGGGGUUCGGAAAGAGCCAAGAAUUCUUGUACUCCCCAAAAAGAGUCUGGCGGUGUUCAUGAGGGCUGGUGACCUGGAAAAGGCAUUCUGAUUGGGAUGACAAGGAUGCAGAGUCUAGAGCUGACAGCAGGGUGUGAUUGCUGAAACACAAGAAAGAGAGAAGAACUUUGCCCCCUUCUCCCAGUGCCAGCAGCCCAGAGGUAGCAGGAUCCUGUUGAAGAUGGGUAAUGUGCCAACAUCAUAACAAGGUUCAAGGGAGGCACAUCUCAUACGAGUGUGAAAAGGCAAUCAUCAUGCUUAUGAACUACAAGAUUAUCCUAUAUAUUCAUUUUCAAUUAUUUUAUCCUCCUCUGCCUCUUGCCCUGGACUAUAUAAGACCUGCAAUAUAAUGUUGAAUAAGGAAGGUGAAAACGAACAUCAUUGCAUCACUCCUGAUAUCAAAGGUGACAAAACUGAGGCUCAGAGGCCAAUGGCCUUGUUCAAGGUCACACGCCCACUAAAUGAGAGACCCGGAGACCUGGCAUCACACGAAGCACCCCAAUGAACAUCUCCUGCCUCUAUGGUUUUUCUGACAUCCAUCAACAUCUGUCAGAAUUUGAAAAUGUGACUGCUUUUAGGUA
rnacentral:lncRNA from 1 species